rnacentral:rRNA from 1 species
AUUGAACGCUAGCGGGAUGCUUUACACAUGCAAGUCGAACGGCAGCGCGGACUUCGGUCUGGCGGCGAGUGGCGAACGGGUGAGUAAUGUAUCGGAACGUGCCCAGUAGCGGGGGAUAACUACGCGAAAGCGUAGCUAAUACCGCAUACGCCCUACGGGGGAAGGCAGGGGAUCGUAGGACCUUGCCCUAUGGGAGCGGCCGUUAUCGGAUUAGCUAGUUGGUGGGGUAACGGCUCACCAAGGCGACGAUCCGUAGCUGGUUUGAGAGGACGACCAGCCACACUGGGACUGAGACACGGCCCAGACUCCUACGGGAGGCAGCAGUGGGGAAUUUUGGACAAUGGGGGCAACCCUGAUCCAGCCAUCCCGCGUGUGCGAUGAAGGCCUUCGGGUUGUAAAGCACUUUUGGCAGGAAAGAAACGUCGCGGGCUAAUACCCCGUGGAACUGACGGUACCUGCAGAAUAAGCACCGGCUAACUACGUG